GGUUUUUAAGAAAAAUGACGU
rnacentral:snRNA from 1 species